CGCACGGUGAGUAACACGUAUCCAACCUGCCGAUGACUCGGGGAUAGCCUUUCGAAAGAAAGAUUAAUACCCGAUGGCAUAGUUCUUCCGCAUGGUAGAACUAUUAAAGAAUUUCGGUCAUCGAUGGGGAUGCGUUCCAUUAGGUUGUUGGCGGGGUAACGGCCCACCAAGCCUUCGAUGGAUAGGGGUUCUGAGAGGAAGGUCCCCCACAUUGGAACUGAGACACGGUCCAAACUCCUACGGGAGGCAGCAUG
rnacentral:rRNA from 1 species